rnacentral:rRNA from 1 species
GUUGAACGCCGGCGACAUGCCUUACACAUGCAAGUCGAACGGCAGCACGGGAGCAAUCCUGGUGGCGAGUGGCGAACGGGUGAGUAAUAUAUCGGAACGUGCCCAGUCGUGGGGGAUAACGCAGCGAAAGCUGUGCUAAUACCGCAUACGAUCUCAGGAUGAAAGCGGGGGAUCGCAAGACCUCGCGCGAUUGGAGCGGCCGAUAUCAGAUUAGCUAGUUGGUGGGGUAAAGGCCCACCAAGGCGACGAUCUGUAGCUGGUCUGAGAGGACGACCGGCCGCACUGGAACUGAGACACGGUCCAGAGUCCUACAGGAGGCAGCAGUGGGGAAUUUUGGACAAUGGUCGCAAGCCUGAUCCAGCAAUGCCGCGUGCAGGAUGAAGGCCUUCGGGUUGUAAACUGCUUUUGUACGGAACGAAACGGCCCUUUCUAAUACAGGGGGCUAAGGACGGUACCGUAAGAAUAAGCACCGGCUAACUACGUGCCAGCCGCCGCCGUAA